rnacentral:snRNA from 1 species
GAAAAGGGUAUUUGCCGUCAUUGGCACGCGGCCGCCCACUCACAAGAAUGGGUACCGCGCGGAAUCGCUAUCAAGAGAUUUCGAGUACAUAAUGUUUGGACACGUGAGCUGUAGACCUCGUAGGUAGACGCUCCA